CAAAUACUCCCUCCGUCCCAAAUUACUUGUCACAGAAAUGGGUGUAUCUAGAACUAAAAAUACAUCUAGAUACAUACAUUUCUGCGACAAGUAGUUCCGGACGGAGGGAGUAGUUG
rnacentral:pre_miRNA from 1 species